rnacentral:tRNA from 1 species
GGAGAGAUGACCGAGCGGUCGAAGGUGCGCGACUGGAAAUCGCGUGUGGCGGCAAAACCGUCACCGGGGGUUCGAAUCCCCCUCUCUCCGCCA